rnacentral:tRNA from 1 species
GGGGACAUAGCUCAGUGGUAGAGUAUGCACCUAGCAUGUGCAAGGCCCUGGGUUCAAUUCCUCUAGCUUCA